AUGUUUAUGGGUGCUAGAGGUAUUUAAAAAUGGCGAGGCACCUGAUAUUAUUGUUUUGUAUUAUUAACACGGCGAGAUUAAAGAGUAUUAUUGUCUUGAAUAUACCUUUACUGAUAUAAAUAUUAUUGGCUUGUCGUAUUAUCGUAUUAUUACUAAAGAGAAACAUGGUCCCCCCUGUUAUCGUUUGCUUUAUACCAUUAGCUGUCAUAAGUCUGGGAAUUGUUACUGGCUGGACCUGCAUUCAGUGUUGUUGUCUUUAUGUUAUAUUGACUUGUUCCUGUCUGCUUGUCGGCCCAUUAAUCAUGAUAAUGAUUAACAUAGCCCUAUCCCCCAAGCACCAGACUGGUUCUAGUUCCAUUAAAAUCAUUACCGAGAUGGAUGCCUUCCAUAACAUGCUGAUGAAAGGAUACGAGCCCAGAUCAGCUACCAGCAAAAAACAUAUGCGUUAUCCUGUGAUUUUUACUCGUUUGGUGGAUGGUGCCUUGCAGAAUCUUUUAGAUCUAGUCUUUCAGGACUUUGUCGGUUCUUGGUUAAAUGAUCUGGCCUUUGGUUCGGAACAAUUGAUAAAUAAUAUGAAACAGGAUGUAUGGGGUGCGAUACAGAGCCUCCACGAUCGUUUAUCACAUGUUGAUCAUACUAAAUUAGUGGUUUGCAAUAUAGUGAACAAGCUUACCUUUCACUUCGAAAAGAUCAGGAUAGCUCAAGCAGCUUCAUCAGAGGGAGAGGAUCCUGUAUUUAUUUUGUCGGCACAUCUAAUGUCACCUGUUGCCGAAUUGGAGUAUUUAAGGAAGAUUAGUGAACUUUAUAUCCUGUUUUUGUUACCACGCAGUUACUCUCUUUCUCCAAUCAAAUUUCUUUUAAGGGAACUUCUCACAUGUAAAAUCCUGAAACCGGCGAUAGAUUUAAUCACGGAUCCCGAUUACAUCAAUCAGAAGAUCUUGGCGUAUAUCGAUCAACAACAACUCGCCGAAGCGAUGCAUAGAAAAACGUACGAAUACGCGGAAUCCUUCGAGGAUUUUAUACGUAUGAUCAAGAGCACUAAGGAUUUAGAAGUUCUCAAACAUAUCAGAUAUAACAUCGUUACCGAGAUUAUGCAAGCUACCACGAUACAGAACGUUAAACGAGCUCAAGGCUUGGAUCCUGAGAAUAACACGCUCGGAAAUUCCGAUGCUAUUCGAGCGAGAAAACUUAAGAGAUACAUCAGCCAAUUGACGUACGCCAAAAAUACGUGCGAGUGUCACAUGCAAACGUUGGGAUGGGAUGGAUAUCCUCAUCAGGAUACGGAGAUUUGCGAUGCCGCGGAGAUUGCGGAAGGCAGGAUAAUUCCGCUGCAAGCGAUUCUGGAUAAUUUGAUUGGCCGACGACAUUUGUCUCAAUUUUUAGAACAGGUCGCCAGUCAAGGAUUGAUUGGUUACUGGGCGGCGGUGCAGGAAUUACGCACUGCGGAUCGAUCCAAUUGGCAUCAAUUGGGUGCUGAGAUUUUUUAUACUUAUAUCAGAUCACCCACCGCCGAGAUUAAAGUGGAUAAAAAUGUCCGAAAGCGAAUGGAGGCCUUUCUGUUGGGUGAUACGGGACCUAGUAUUUUUUACGAGGUUCAAGAUGGCGUCGUCAAGACGCUCCAAGACAAAUAUUAUCCAUCGUUCCUCGUUAGCGAGCAAUAUAAAAACAUGCAGGAAGCGUUACUCAAUGAAAGAGCAGAGGGUUUAGCUGAAGAUCAUGGGAUCGUUGAUGGUACAUUAUCAGAAUCUUCAACUUUGCUCGUUGGCGAACGAUCGAAUUACGCUCGCAGUAAACUGGAUCAAUUGCAGGAAAAAUUGAACAACAAGAUGCAAGCUCUACAAGCACUUAAAUCCUCUCUCAAGCCCGAGAGCAAAGUACUAAGCAUAUUGGCGAAAGAGGUCGAAUGGUUGCAAGGUGAAAAACGACAAUUGGAGGCGCAUUUAAAUCAUACGGAAAUGUGGGCCGAACAUUUAGGUCAUUGGAGAGCUGAUGUGCAAAGUGCAGAAAUGCCCGAUAAUGGGGAUCCUCCACAAUUUGUAUUGGUUGUCCACAUGGCAGAAGAUGAAGACAACGACGAGAGUAUAUCUAGUGGAUGGGUAGUGUUGAGGAAACUGCAAGAUUUUCAAGAUCUUCAUAGAAAACUACGUCAGUUAUGUGCUGACGUUAAAAAUCUGGACUUACCGUCGCAGCCUCUAAAGUUUUUCGGAAAAUCUGAUAAGAGCACUCUUGACAAAGCUAAAAUGCAGAUACAAAAAUAUUUAAAUGUAUGUCUCAAUGCAACUUUGUCUUGGAGGAUGAAAGGCUUAAUCAAAGCGAAGCACUAUACGCCUUUCUUAGUCCAAGUUCGGAGCAUCUUAAAGCCGUGGCACCGUCUCCCAAGAAGUCUCGUUUUUCUUUAUCUACUUUAUUCAAAACAUCUGUUGGUAGUAACGAGCUACGCGAUAAAGAAGAUGAAGAAGAUUAUUCGUUGUUAUUGGACGAUAGUGAGACAGGCCGUACCGGUACGGAUAGCUAUCUAAAUGCUAGCAAGGAUGCGAUCGCUGAGCCAUUGUACACGCUUUUAGGAGAAAUUUUCGAUUUGCGAGGAGUAUUUCGUUGGCUCAGACGGUCUCUCAUUACUUUCGUACAGAUUACUUAUGGACGUACCAUAAAUAGACAAAUUAGAGAUAUUGUCGCUUGGGUGUUUUCCGAGCCGAUGCUUCAUUAUUACAUACAAUUGUUUAUGAAAUCAUGGUGGCCGAAUGGUCAACUCGUGUCCGAGACGGUUUUCCGUACUGACGAGGAGAAACUAAAAACGCGAGGCGAGGCACGUAGGCAAUUUCUUAAUAAUGUACCUGAAGUAUUGACCAAUCUAGUAGGAGCGCAGAGUGCUCAACGCGGCGCGAUUAAAGUUUUCGAUUCCCUACAGAACGUGAAUUUGAAUAAGCAGUUAUUUUACGAUAUAUUUGAAGUAUUAAUGUACGAAGUAUUUCCAGAAUUGCAACAUAAACAAUGUUCUUUAACGAAAUAAAUCAUCAAUAUGACAUACGAAUAUGUAAUCCCAUUUCAUUCUCCUUUUAAAGAGAAUUUUAUCACAGGAUGUGUCUAUUCAAAUCUUGUAAAAAAAUUCUCUGAAAAUUCUCUGAUCUUCCAGAUAUUUUUGUUCUAAAUUCCAGAUAAAGAAAAUAUUUAAAAAAUUUUUUGGUGCAAUUUCUUCUAAAAUAAGUUUUUCUCAUUGAGUGUGUUUUCUAAUGCUUUUCGUUCAUUCGAAGGAAAAAUACAAAGUCACAUCAAUGUUUUUCCAAAACUGCGUUCGGAAAUAUCACCUGUGUGCACAUGAGCGUCGUUCUAUCUUUAUCCAACUUUUAAUAAAUAACAAAGAUAGAAUGACGCUUGUAUGCACACGGGUGAUGUUUCCGAACGCAGCCCAGGAAGUAGACAUCCUGUAUAAUUUACAGAUGCAAUAAAACUAGAUCCAUAAAUUAGAUAAUGAUUAUGAGUACAUGUUAAACAUUGAGAAAGAUAUGUACGUGCAUGCAUACGAUCCUGUAAUUCUAAAUAUAAAUGUUCUAUUUACAUAUAUUGUGCAAUAAAAAUCGUUAAAUUCUCAAUAAUAUUUCGAUUAGACAAUUGCAAACAAUUUUGAGAAAAAGAAAAGAGUAUUCUGAUAGUUAUAAGAACGGACGAAGUAGUAUAUAUAGAUAAUGUUAAUUAUAUAUCCAGAAGGAUGGAUUGACUACUUGAUGGUAAUACAUAUUUUUUUCUCUCUUUCUACAUAACUUUUUUAGUGUACUUUUUUUUAACAAUACAAAUCAUCAAUCAAUAUCAAUCUAAAAACGUUAAAAUACAAGAAAUUGUAAAUAGAUUUACAAACAAUGCUUAGAAUAAAGUAUAGUAAAUGUAUAGUUUACUUAUAUGCGUCUCAUAUUUUCAGCAAAAUAGACUUUAUAACAAUUCAUAAAAAUGUACAGUUACAUCAACCUAUAAACUGAGAAAAGUCUUCGAAAUAUUAUAUCAAUCUAUGCUAUCAAACUUGAGCUGGUAUAAAAAAAUUUAUUUAUUUCAAUGUAUUUCGCAACAUAUCUCAUUUUUUCUUGCUUUUGAUGUCAUAAUUUGAUGUGACUUCGAUGAGGGACCAAGGGCCUCAAUUUGAUGUAUUUCGAGAAAUAUUGGUUUAUUUGAUUGGUAAUAAAUCUAAUCGUAGUAAUAAUGUGGUAUUGGCUGAUAAAUUUAACAUAUUUAUUUUUUGUAAUAAAUAUUUCUCUAUUUGCAUAUAUACGAAAUUGUAUAUGUACACUUACUCUCUAUAUACAUAUUUAGCAGAAAGUAUAAAUAAAAUAUAUGUCGUAGCAUGUUUUUCUGAAAAAAUAAUAAGACUAACAAUAAGUCUAAAAAUUGGCUUGUUUUUUUUUGCAGCAAAUAAAAAUAAAUGUAUGCUGCAUUUGUUACUUCCUAUUGUUUAAUUGCGGUUGAAUUUAUAUUCAUAUAAAUUACUUCGGGAGGCCACGGUAUUAGAUAAAUAUUAUCAUUAUGCAAUAUUCUAAUUUACAAUAAAUGUUUAAAUAAUGUUUAAAAAGUUAAUAUAUAUAUAUUUAAGCUGAUUUAGGGAUACAUACAGAUUUUAGUAUGGAAAUAAUAAUUUUCUUCAAUUCUUAUUGUUAGUAAUAGAAAGAUUUUUUUCCGAUUUAAUCUAAACUACAUUGAGUUACAUUCUUAUUUUCCAAAAAUGUUUUUUUUUUUCUUCAUUUUU